rnacentral:lncRNA from 1 species
UUGGACCUAUUUGGCCCGUGUUGGCUAGCCAAGAAUGAAACCAAGUCACAUGUCAAGGCACUACAACAUACCAAAAUGGACACCCCAAUUCCAAGGGGAAGGAAUUCUGGCUUCAUUUUUUCCAGUGUUUUGGGACACGCUUUGUUAUCCUUCCUGGAUGUUCUGUUUUAGGAGUUGAUGUGAGUCCACACAUUCAGAACACAGUCUUGCGUGUAAGGAAAUUUGCUUGAAAAUGUAAAGAGGUGAGUGUGUAUUGAAACUGUUUGGCUAUGGGAGAUGGGCAUUUGGUUCUGGUUAACUUUCCCCUUUUUCUCUAUCUUUGACUAUGUUCAAGGCAUUUGAGAAAUGAAAAGAGAUGGCAUGAAUAUUUCUUGGUUCUUCCACCUGAUGAAUAGUAAAGAAUUUAGAAUCUAAAAUGGCUCAUGAUGCCUGUUAGGUUCUUAAGAUCUGGUAAAAAUUAUUCCUAUUCAACAGAUCAAGAGAAGAAAUAAUUUGUUAAUUGAAAAGGCAUCCAACAACUAGCCUGGUCAAACAUAUAAUGCCUGGGAGUAAGAGGACCU